rnacentral:rRNA from 1 species
UGCGGAAGGAUCAUUACCGAGUGUAGGGUUCCUAGCGAGCCCAACCUCCCACCCGUGUUUACUGUACCUUAGUUGCUUCGGCGGGCCCGCCAUUCAUGGCCGCCGGGGGCUCUCAGCCCCGGGCCCGCGCCCGCCGGAGACACCACGAACUCUGUCUGAUCUAGUGAAGUCUGAGUUGAUUGUAUCGCAAUCAGUUAAAACUUUCAACAAUGGAUCUCUUGGUUCCGGCAUCGAUGAAGAACGCAGCGAAAUGCGAUAACUAGUGUGAAUUGCAGAAUUCCGUGAAUCAUCGAGUCUUUGGAACGCACAUUGCGCCCCCUGGUAUUCCGGGGGGCAUGCCUGUCCGAGCGUCAUUGCUGCCCAUCAAGCACGGCUUGUGUGUUGGGUCGUCGUCCCCUCUCCGGGGGGGACGGGCCCCAAAGGCAGCGGCGGCACCGCGUCCGAUCCUCGAGCGUAUGGGGCUUUGUCACCCGCUCUGUAGGCCCGGCCGGCGCUUGCCGAACGCAAAUCAAUCUUUUUCCAGGUUGACCUCGGAUCAGGUAGGGAUACCCGCUGAACUUAAGCAUAUCAAUAAGCGGAGGAAAAGAAACCAACCGGGAUUGCCUCAGUAACGGCGAGUGAAGCGGCAAGAGCUCAAAUUUGAAAGCUGGCUCCUUCGGGGUCCGCAUUGUAAUUUGCAGAGGAUGCUUCGGGUUGCGGCCCCUGUCUAAGUGCCCCUGGAACGGGCCGUCAGAGAGGGUGAGAAUCCCGUCUGGGAUGGGGUGUCCGCGCCCGUGUGAAGCUCCUUCGACGAGUCGAGUUGUUUGGGAAUGCAGCUCUAAAUGGGUGGUAAAUUUCAUCUAAAGCUAAAUACUGGCCGGAGACCGAUAGCGCACAAGUAGAGUGAUCGAAAGAUGAAAAGCACUUUGAAAAGAGAGUUAAAAAGCACGUGAAAUUGUUGAAAGGGAAGCGCUUGCGACCAGACUCGCCUCCAGGGUUCAGCCGGCAUUCGUGCCGGUGUACUUCCCUGGGGGCGGGCCAGCGUCGGUUUGGGCGGCCGGUCAAAGGCUCCCGGAAUGUAGUGCCCUCCGGGGCACCUUAUAGCCGGGAGUGCAAUGCGGCCAGCCUGGACCGAGGAACGCGCUUCGGCACGGA